rnacentral:rRNA from 1 species
GAUGAACGCUGGCGGCGUGCCUAAUACAUGCAAGUCGAGCGAACAGACGAGGAGCUUGCUCCUCUGACGUUAGCGGCGGACGGGUGAGUAACACGUGGAUAACCUACCUAUAAGACUGGGAUAACUUCGGGAAACCGGAGCUAAUACCGGAUAAUAUAUUGAACCGCAUGGUUCAAUAGUGAAAGACGGUUUUGCUGUCACUUAUAGAUGGAUCCGCGCCGCAUUAGCUAGUUGGUAAGGUAACGGCUUACCAAGGCAACGAUGCGUAGCCGACCUGAGAGGGUGAUCGGCCACACUGGAACUGAGACACGGUCCAGACUCCUACGGGAGGCAGCAGUAGGGAAUCGUACGCAAUGGGCGAAAGCCUGACGGAGCAACGCCGCGUGAGUGAUGAAGGUCUUCGGAUCGUAAAACUCUGUUAUUAGGGAAGAACAAAUGUGUAAGUAACUAUGCACGUCUUGACGGUACCUAAUCAGAAAGCCACGGCUAACUACGUG